GUAGAUAUGGUGUUAGUGGUUAGCAUAUGACAUUGCCAAUGUCAAGGGGUUAGUUCAAGUCUAAUUAUCUACUCA
rnacentral:tRNA from 1 species